rnacentral:rRNA from 1 species
CCCGCCUUGCGGCGUGCUAUACAUGCAAGUCGAACGAACUCUGGUAUUGAUUGAUGCUUGCAUCAUGAUUUACAUUUGAGUGAGUGGCGAACUGGUGAGUAACACGUGGGAAACCUGCCCAGAAGCGGGGGAUAACACCUGGAAACAGAUGCUAAUACCGCAUAACAACUUGGACCGCAUGGUCCGAGUUUGAAAGAUGGCUUCGGCUAUCACUUUUGGAUGGUCCCGCGGCGUAUUAGCUAGAUGGUGGGGUAACGGCUCACCAUGGCAAUGAUACGUAGCCGACCUGAGAGGGUAAUCGGCCACAUUGGGACUGAGACACGGCCCAAACUCCUACGGGAGGCAGCAGUAGGGAAUCUUCCACAAUGGACGAAAGUCUGAUGGAGCAACGCCGCGUGAGUGAAGAAGGGUUUCGGCUCGUAAAACUCUGUUGUUAAAGAAGAACAUAUCUGAGAGUAACUGUUCAGAUAUUGACGGUAUUUAACCAGAAAGCCACGGCUAACUACGUGCCAGCAGCCGCGGUAAUACGUAGGUGGCAAGCGUUGUCCGGAUUUAUUGGGCGUAAAGCGAGCGCAGGCGGUUUUUUAAGUCUGAUGUGAAAGCCUUCGGCUCAACCGAAGAAGUGCAUCGGAAACUGGGAAACUUGAGUGCAGAAGAGGACAGUGGAACUCCAUGUGUAGCGGUGAAAUGCGUAGAUAUAUGGAAGAACACCAGUGGCGAAGGCGGCUGUCUGGUCUGUAACUGACGCUGAGGCUCGAAAGUAUGGGUAGCAAACAGGAUUAGAUACCCUGGUAGUCCAUACCGUAAACGAUGAAUGCUAAGUGUUGGAGGGUUUCCGCCCUUCAGUGCUGCAGCUAACGCAUUAAGCAUUCCGCCUGGGGAGUACGGCCGCAAGGCUGAAACUCAAAGGAAUUGACGGGGGGCG